AGAAUUCAGCAUAAGGUAAAGCAAAGACGGUGCCUCUACAUACCAAAAGCUGGUGUUUGAUCUUAUGAAAAUGUGGAGAUUUUGCUAAGAAAUCUGUGAACCUAUUUCUUUCCUUCAACGCCCAACCGCGGACUUCUUUGAGGAAUUGUGUCCAGAAUUCAGCAUAUGGUAAAGCAAAGACGGUGCCUCUACAUACCAAAAGCUGGUGUUUGAUCUUAUGAAAAUGUGGAGGUAAAUAUCUUCUUCAUAAACGUGGUGCAGCUUUUGUAUAGUUGCACAUAAAUAGUCACUCUGUGUUUUGUUACUUGUCUUUGAGAUUUUGCUAAGAAAUCUGUGAACCUAUUUCUUUCCUUCAACGCCCAACCGCGGACUUCUUUGAGGAAUUGUGUCCAGAAUUCAG